rnacentral:tRNA from 1 species
GGAGAGAUGGCCGAGUUGGCUGAAGGUGCACGCCUGGAAAGCGUGUGUAGGUGACCCCUACCGGGGGUUCGAAUCCCCCUCUCUCCGCCA